AUGACUGCUUGGGAAAAGGCGAGCGAGGCCUAUCUCCAAAAAAGAACCUGGCCGCCGGAGGGUGCAGGCGUGGCUGCGCGCAGGAUUGAGCGAGGCGAGCGGCGUCGGGGAGCGGAUUCAUUUGGGCUUCAAGGAGGCCAGUGGUGCUUAAAUCGACCGCUGGGCAGACGUCUUCACAUUGCAGUGGAUGCAGUGGAGGUUCGCAAUUUUAUCGUUCUACCCAUCGGAGCACGAUCUUGAUGCAGUCAACAACGUUGCCGCAAAUGAACGCAACGACAUUUCUAGUUCAUGCAGCUGCACAUAGAGCAAGAAAGUUGCUUCUG